AAAACACUUCAAAUGGAAAAUUGGAGUUAGAAAGUUGCAAGACAUUUCUCCAGAGGGUAAAGGAGUUAAGGUAUCCCUUGUCUUGUUGAAUGGUACUGCCAACCACACACACCCAGCCAUCCGAUGGGGAUCCUGAUUUUUCAAACUUAAUCUAAGUCCAUCUGCCUCAGGAGACAUCACUACAGAAGAGAUCCAUUGGCCUGGAAAGAAGCUGUCUUUCCCUCCUUACCCUCAUCACAACCCUGUUCGCAACCUGGCUCAUUCAUCUGACUCCUGCAUAGACAGAAACCAAGCUCCUGGAGGCAAGAAUAAAAUACUCCCUCCUGCAUUCUGAGCAUCUAGUCUUUCAAAAAGGGUCUUCCAAAAAGUCUAUGUUUCCGAGUGAAUAAAGAAACAAAUCCUCCCAAACACA
ensembl:lncRNA